rnacentral:rRNA from 1 species
AUUGAACGCUGGCGGAAUGCUUUACACAUGCAAGUCGAACGGCAGCACGGACUUCGGUCUGGUGGCGAGUGGCGAACGGGUGAGUAAUGUAUCGGAACGUGCCCAGUCGUGGGGGAUAACGUAGUGAAAAUUACGCUAAUACCGCAUACGAUCGAUGGAUGAAAGCGGGGGAUCGCAAGACCUCGCGCGAUUGGAGCGGCCGAUGUCAGAUUAGGUAGUUGGUGGGGGAAAGGCCCACCAAGCCAACGAUCUGUUGCUGGUCUGAGAGGACGGCCAGCCACAGUGGAACUGAGACACGGUCCAGACUCCUACGGGAGGCAGCAGUGGGGAGUUUUGGACAAUGGGCGAAAGCCUGAUCCAGCCAUUCCGCGUGCAGGAUGAAGGCCCUCGGGUUGUAAACUGCUUUUGUACAGAACGAAAAGGUUUCUACUAAUACUAGGAGCUCAUGACGGUACUGUAAGAAUAAGCACCGGCUAACUACGUGCCAGCCGCCGCAGUAA